rnacentral:rRNA from 1 species
UACGGAAGGGGCAAGCGUUGUUCGGAAUCACUGGGCGUAAAGGGCGUGUAGGCGGUCAGGUAAGUGGGAUGUGAAAUGCCUCGGCUCACCCGAGGCACUGCAUUCCAAACUGCUUGGCUUGAGUAUGGGAGAGGAUGAGGGAAUUCCUGGUGUAGCGGUGAAAUGCGCAGAUAUCGGGAAGAACACCCGUGGCGAAGGCGGUCCUCUGGGACGGUACUGACGCUGAGACGCGAAAGCGUGGGGAGCGAACAGG